rnacentral:rRNA from 1 species
UACGUAGGGCGCAAGCGUUUAUCCGGAAUUAUUGGGCGUAAAAGAGCUCGUAGGCGGUUUUGUCGCGUCUGCCGUGAAAAGUCCCGGGGGCUCAACUCCGGAUCUGCGGUGGGUACGGGGCAGACUAGAGUGAUGUAGGGGAGACUGGAAUUCCUGGUGUAGCGGUGAAAUGCGCAGAUAUCAGGAGGAACACCGAUGGCGAAGGCAGGUCUCUGGGCAUUAACUGACGCUGAGGAGCGAAAGCAUGGGGGGCGAACAGG